rnacentral:ncRNA from 1 species
GGAAUGGUACGGUCGUACCAGAACCGUGCGCGGGACGGCGGACCUGACACCCGGCGCGCAGCGG